rnacentral:rRNA from 1 species
UACGUAGGCAGCGAGCGUUGUUCGGAGUUACUGGGCGUAAAGGGUGUGUAGGCGGUUGUUUAAGUUUGGUGUGAAAUCUCCCGGCUCAACUGGGAGGGUGCGCCGAAUACUGAAUGACUUGGAGUGCGGGAGAGGAGAGUGGAAUUCCUGGUGUAGCGGUGAAAUGCGUAGAUAUCAGGAAGAACACCAAUGGCGAAGGCAGCUCUCUGGGACGGUACUGACGCUGAGACGCGAAAGCGUGGGGAGCGAACAGG